GGUCUCGUUCUGUAAUACUGUCUAUAAGCAAUGUGGUAACGACUUGCCCGACCAUGAACACUGUGUGUUAUGCUAUUUGGGGAUGUAUGCCGUACGUGUAUUUCUGUGUCAUCAUCUACAGACUUGGCCAAUAGAUAGUCGUUCAGGUCUACACUCAGUGCCAAUGGAGCGGCACAAGGCGCUGUUGAGCUGCAUGACUUUGUGUGUGAGCUGAUGGCGACCUGAUCGCAUGCGAGGAGUUCUGCAAUGUUGCCAACAUCGGAAGUACAUGCCACAGUGGAAAAAUAAGAAGUGUAUGAACUGGUCUCCAGAUUUGCUAGGCAAAUCAAUAAGGCUGUGCUCCUUCUGCAAUAGAUGGCGCAAUACGUAGUGAGCUGUGCCCCAGGGUAUUGUCGGCUUGCCAUAUGUGUAUAAGGAAAGCGCAGCUGAACCAUUGAGGGCAAUAAAAUGGAUUUGUUGACAUUUUU
rnacentral:lncRNA from 1 species